AUUUCCUGGUAACCAUUUUCUUCUCAAAUUCUCCGUAGGUAUUGCUGGCCAUACCCAGUUUAUCUUCUUCUAUUCUUGUCAUGCUUCUGAAGCUACAAAUAUGCCGGUUAUUAUCGAUAAAGGAAAUAAUAUGAUUGAUUGCUUGUCCAUCUUUGGAGUAGGAUCAACUUCAGGUACAUGUAAUGCAGGAAUUUCUUCAACUCCAGCAGCUACUGCACAUAGAGGUAAAACAAAUUUAGAAGUCGAGUUACAGAUGAUGACUUGUUGCUAAAAAAUUACGUACAUUUAAAAGAAGUUCCGGAUUGUAAAUUUUGUGGAGCAAAAAGGUUCCAAUAUAAACCACCAAAAUUCUGUUGUGGUAGCGGAUCAAUAAAAUUGACUUCUCAUCAAAUGCCUGUAGAGUU